rnacentral:misc_RNA from 1 species
GAUGAAGAACGUAGCGAAAUGCGAUAAGUAAUGUGAAUUGCAGAAUUCAGUGAAUCAUCGAAUCUUUGAACGCACAUUGCGCCCCCCAGUAUUCUGGCGGGCAUGCCUGUUCGAGCAUCAUUUCAACCAUCAAGCCCUGCUUGUGUUGGGGUCCUGCGGCUGCCCGCAGGCCCUGAAAACCAGUGGCGGGCUCGCUAGUCACACCGAGCGCAGUAGCACAUCUCGCUCAGGGCGUGCGGCGGGCUCCAGCCGUUAAAGCACCCACCUUUCGCAAGGUUGACCUCGGAUCAGGUAGGAAUACCCGCUGAACUUAAGCAUAUCAAUAAGCGGAGGA